ensembl:lncRNA
CAUUGACCAGUGAGUUUGUUCAUAAGGCAGGUCUGGGUGUUGGACAGAAGGAGCCUCUGCUUACUGGCCUAAUCCAGAGGGCUUUCCUAUGACGUGUUGUUUUCUAUCACCAGCACCUCCGCUUCAUGCCAUACUCUUGGCUAAUUGAAGCUGCUGAAGGCAGGAGGAUCCCACUAAUGGACUCGGCUCUCCCUCAGGGCUCAGACGCCAAGACAAUGUCACAGCAGCGGGAGGAAGAGCCCAGAUGGCCCGGCUCAGGUGGUGAAGGCCUUUAGAAGCUGCCUUGAGGCUCUCAGUGGCUUUAGAUCGAAAACCAUCUUGGCCCCUUCCAGCAGCGUAAGGCAUUUUAUGACAGCCUGAAAGCACAGAGCUUAAACAGAAUGAUGAUCACAGGGCAGGAAUUUGGACUCCAGGAGAACUGCCUAAGCACAGAUUAUUUUUCUCCGGUAUUUGAUGAGAACAAACGAAGUUAAGAAUUUUCCUUUUGUUCGUCUGGCCUGUGGCAUUGUUUACUUUCUUUUUAUUAUUCUCGAAGGCACUUAGAGCUCUGGCAGCGUUUCUGUCCUAAAAUCUUAUUGUCAGAGGUUUAUUUUUCAGCUGUUUCAAAUCAUAUCUGAUAGAGUGAGUGCUUUGCCUGGGUUCAUCGCUUUACCUCAAAAGAAAUAAAGUUCACCCUUUAAAUGACAAUAUUGAUUGUCUACAGCUUUAAGUUUUCUACACUUAAGCUGCAGGCUUCAUUUCAAAACCUGUUUUCCCUCAUCACAGAGGAACGAUGGUGGAAGUCUCACUCUGCUGGAGUCUGGGACGUGCGUCGGAGAGUCUGGACUUCACGUGCUGCUCUUCCAAAACAAGGACAGGAUAUCAACCCAGAGAAAUGAGCCCUUCAGACCUGUGAUGAUCUGUGAAGAGCUCAGAUGGACUUAGCAGGCAUUUUCUUGACACCUGGGAAAAGUCAGCAUGUGAGAGAGGGAGUAGCAUUAUGGUUACGAGGCUACGUUCUAGAGCUGGGCUGCCUGGUUGAAUGCCAGCUACUCAGCUGUAGUGGGUUAAAUGGUGCCCCCUGCAAAAAAAAAUAUAUAUAUAUAUAUAAGAGCACCUCCUAACCCCAGGAACCUGUGACUGUGGCCUUAUUGGGGAAAAGGGUCUCAGCAGAUGUAAAUACAUUAAGGAUUUCUGAGAUGAGAUCCCCCUGCAGGAUGAGUCCUGUAUCCAAUAAGGAGAAGACACAGAUGUAGAAGAGAAGGUCAUGUGAAGAUGGAAGCAGAGACUGGAGUGAUGCUGUCAUAGGCCAGGGAACACCUGAAGCCACCAGAAGCUAGAAGAGGACAGAAGUGUUUCUCCUUAGAGACUCUGGAGGGAGUGUGGUCCUGCUGGCCCCUUGACUUUGGACUUCUGGACCCCAGAACUGUGAGAGAAUACAUUUCCGUUGUCUUAAGCCACCAGGUUUGUGGUUAUUUGUUAGAGCAGCCCUAGGAAACAAACACGUCACUUACCAGCUGAGUGACCUUGGACACAAUAUUUGACCUCUACAAAUCGGACCCCUUGAAAUGCCUUCACACAGGUGAGUGUCUGCACCUGGUAUGGUCAUACACAUGACUUUUUUUUUCUCUUGUGACAACAGGCAAAUACAACAGAGCUGAGACUUCAACCCAGUAAGUGCUGGUCAAAAGAGUCACUGUCUUGCAGAUGUAGAGGGCAGACUCGUGGAC